rnacentral:rRNA from 1 species
AAAACGACUCUCGGCAACGGAUAUCUCGGCUCUCGCAUCGAUGAAGAACGUAGCGAAAUGCGAUACUUGGUGUGAAUUGCAGAAUCCCGUGAACCAUCGAGUCUUUGAACGCAAGUUGCGCCCAAAACCCUCGGGUCAAGGGCACGUCUGCCUGGGUGUCACGC